ACAGAUUUUAAACUUUAUUUCUCCCAUUGACUGAUUUCGGUUUUCAGAGGUAUUUUGCCCCCAGAAUUUGCUCUCCCAGACUUACACUCCCCAAGAAUGUCCUACUGUCAUUCCUUUGGUCGCACUGAAUCCACAGUGAACUUGCCCGGGGCUGAAGCCCAUUGGCGGGACACUUCCCCUUCCUCCCACCCGCUGAUCUGCUGCAGGGCUCUUCUCAUUCUUGGAACCCGCCAAGCUCAUUCCGCCCAUUCUGUUGCUGGGUGGCUGCGGCUGGGGAGCCCUCUCCCUGCACACCAGGCGAAACUUCAGCUUGGGUGGGGGGUGGGUUCUUGACUCUGAACGAGAAAGAGUUCUCGACCAGGUCGGACAGGUGUAGGUAAGGAAGGAGUUCAUUACAGCGAGCGUGCUGGUGAAUGGCGGCAGCCGCGCAGCAGCAGAGAGCCGGGAAGUGCAGCGGCAAAGAGGGAGAGCGCACUGAACCCUCUCAGCCUGGCGCAGAUUUUCUUGCCAACUCUUAAAGCCUUGGCAUCCUGUGUCCGCUUGGAUCUGCACGGCAUGGGGACUAGCCCCGACCACCCCAAGAUUUGGGGGAGCCGCAGAGCCCUGGAUGGAGGGAGAUAAUGUUCUAACUUCCCAAAGAAAGGAGAUUUUCAGGCAGGCUGCUAAGAGCGGACGGCGCAGCUGCCGUUCUGCCCGGGUCGCUCAGGCGAAGUGAACUCGCAGCGCCUCCGGGAGUAAAGCGGAGGCAGAGUGAAGACUUGGAAAUAGAACGAAGCAGCAGCGCAACAGCAAAGACACCGCUGGACGGGCAGAGAUGCGAUGCGGCGAGUUCAUGAUGCGUGAUCAAAACUGAAACAGUCCCUUGCAUUGGUCACCAUGUAAGAAGAGCUUGUUCGUGGUGCUUCAGAAGAUGGAGACUGUUGGGAGUUAGGCUUGGGGUUGAUUAAUGACUGUGCAUUGAGUCCCCUAUACAGAAUUUUAUUGUUGUUGACAACCAUUUGAUCAAUAAAUAUGAGAGGUGCCCUCUCAGCACCACUCUUGCACUGUUUA